AUGUGUCAGAUUAAUGUAUUAAAUUUAAGAUUUAAUUAUGAAAUUCUAUUCCUUUAGUA
rnacentral:tRNA from 1 species